UUGAACGCUGGCGGCAGGCCUAACACAUGCAAGUCGAACGGUAACAGGAAGCAGCUUGCUGCUUCGCUGACGAGUGGCGGACGGGUGAGUAAUGUCUGGGAAACUGCCUGAUGGAGGGGGAUAACUACUGGAAACGGUAGCUAAUACCGCAUAACGUCGCAAGACCAAAGAGGGGGACCUUCGGGCCUCUUGCCAUCGGAUGUGCCCAGAUGGGAUUAGCUAGUAGGUGGGGUAACGGCUCACCUAGGCGACGAUCCCUAGCUGGUCUGAGAGGAUGACCAGCCACACUGGAACUGAGACACGGUCCAGACUCCUACGGGAGGCAGCAGUGGGGAAUAUUGCACAAUGGGCGCAAGCCUGAUGCAGCCAUGCCGCGUGUAUGAAGAAGGCCUUCGGGUUGUAAAGUACUUUCAGCGGGGAGGAAGGGAGUAAAGUUAAUACCUUUGCUCAUUGACGUUACCCGCAGAAGAAGCACCGGCUAACUCCGUGCCAGCAGCCGCGGUAAUACGGAGGGUGCAAGCGUUAAUCGGAAUUACUGGGCGUAAAGCGCACGCAGGCGGUUUGUUAAGUCAGAUGUGAAAUCCCCGGGCUCAACCUGGGAACUGCAUCUGAUACUGGCAAGCUUGAGUCUCGUAGAGGGGGGUAGAAUUCCAGGUGUAGCGGUGAAAUGCGUAGAGAUCUGGAGGAAUACCGGUGGCGAAGGCGGCCCCCUGGACGAAGACUGACGCUCAGGUGCGAAAGCGUGGGGAGCAAACAGGAUUAGAUACCCUGGUAGUCCACGCCGUAAACGAUGUCGACUUGGAGGUUGUGCCCUUGAGGCGUGGCUUCCGGAGCUAACGCGUUAAGUCGACCGCCUGGGGAGUACGGCCGCAAGGUUAAAACUCAAAUGAAUUGACGGGGGCCCGCACAAGCGGUGGAGCAUGUGGUUUAAUUCGAUGCAACGCGAAGAACCUUACCUGGUCUUGACAUCCACAGAACUUUCCAGAGAUGGAUUGGUGCCUUCGGGAACUGUGAGACAGGUGCUGCAUGGCUGUCGUCAGCUCGUGUUGUGAAAUGUUGGGUUAAGUCCCGCAACGAGCGCAACCCUUAUCCUUUGUUGCCAGCGGUCCGGCCGGGAACUCAAAGGAGACUGCCAGUGAUAAACUGGAGGAAGGUGGGGAUGACGUCAAAUCAUCAUGCCCCUUAUGACCAGGGCUACACACGUGCUACAAUGGCGUAAACAAAGGGAAGCGAACCCGCGAGGGUGGGCAAAUCCCAAAAAUAACGUCUCAGUUCGGAUUGUAGUCUGCAACUCGACUACAUGAAGCUGGAAUCGCUAGUAAUCGCGAAUCAGAAUGUCGCGGUGAAUACGUUCCCGGGCCUUGUACACACCGCCCGUCACACCAUGGGAGUCAGUAACGCCCGAAGUCAGUGACCCAACCGUAAGGAGGGAGCUGCCGAAGGUGGGACCGAUAACUGGGGUG
rnacentral:rRNA from 1 species